rnacentral:rRNA from 1 species
GACGUAGGGCGCGAGCGUUGUCCGGAUUUAUUGGGCGUAAAGAGCUCGUAGGCGGCUUGUCGCGUCGAAUGUGAAAUUUCAGGGCUCAACCCCGGGCCUGCAUUCGAUACGGGCAGACUAGAGUUCGGUAGGGGAGUCUGGAAUUCCUGGUGUAGCGGUGAAAUGCGCAGAUAUCAGGAGGAACACCGGUGGCGAAGGCGGGACUCUGGGCCGAUACUGACGCUGAGGAGCGAAAGCGUGGGGAGCGAACAGG